rnacentral:rRNA from 1 species
GAUAAACGCUGGCGGCAGGCUUAACACAUGCAAGUCGAGCGGGGUGAUGGUGCUUGCACUAUCACUUAGCGGCGGACGGGUGAGUAAUGCUUAGGAAUCUGCCUAUUAGUGGGGGACAACAUCUCGAAAGGGAUGCUAAUACCGCAUACGUCCUACGGGAGAAAGCAGGGGAUCACUCGUGACCUUGCGCCAAUAGAUGAGCCUAAGUCGGAUUAGCUAGUUGGUGGGGUAAAGGCCUACCAAGGCGACGAUCUGUAGCGGGUCUGAGAGGAUGAUCCGCCACACUGGGACUGAGACACGGCCCAGACUCCUACGGGAGGUAGCAGUGGGGAAUAUUGGACAAUGGGGGGAACCCUGAUCCAGCCAUGCCGCGUGUGUGAAGAAGGCCUUAUGGUUGUAAAGCACUUUAAGCGAGGAGGAGGCUCUUUUGGUUAAUACCCAAGAUGAGUGGACGUUACUCGCAGAAUAAGCACCGGCUAACUCUGUGCCAGCCGCCGCGGUAAAAC